rnacentral:lncRNA from 1 species
GCCCGUCGCCGCUACUGGCUCGUUGUACUCCGUGCAGCCGCCAAGGGGCUUGUCAACAAACAUGCCGUACAUUCGAGAGCCCAUCCAGGCACCGCUCUCACCUGUCGUGUCAACAGAGGUGGCCGCGGCGGCGGCGGUGACAGCGACACUUCAUUCUCGACAGAGGAAUGUUGCUUAUUAGCUAAUUGGGCAUUUUUGUUUAAUGGCAUGGACGACAUCGCUUGUUGCCAAGGUUUCCUGAUUUCUGUCUUCAAUUGGAUCUCUUGGUCGAUCUGUCGUCGUUGACUUCGCAAGCAUGGCACUUGGCAAGCCUUUUACGCAUCUCUGUACGUAAUGAUCGGCACUUACUGCUUAUGCAUGCUUCUGAUGCGACAUAUUGGGGCGGUAUUGGUUGCUGAACUGAUGUUGUGAUGUCGUCCUUAUCUGUAGAAGCUGCCGUACAGUACGGCAGACAGUUACAUACUCUUAUAAACACGCGCCCAAGAACUCUGGCAAAAUAUCUUGAGCGGCCUUUUCAAAAGCCGGCUACUGCAAAGGUAACGAGACCUCGCGAGGUGUGUACGACCGUACACAAGGCGUAAGUAGACCGAACGUCGCCAGUGCUGGCCAGUCUACCCCUGCUUGCAGCCGGCAUACGG